rnacentral:lncRNA from 1 species
AAGAACCCAACUGAAUCUGUGUGGGGGAAAUCUUCAAGUACUUCAACACUUCCAUAUCAAAUUCAGAUAGAUGCAACUACAGGUUUAUUAUGGUGAACAAACACUCAUAAAAAGGAAUAAAACACCUUUUAAAGGUGUUGCAUAUCUUUUUCUCAAGAUCCACUAGAAGGACCAACCGAUCAUAAGGGCGGACGACCAUGAUGGUCUUCG